UCUCGAUUGGUCUAGUGGUCAGGAUACCUGCUUGUCAUGAACAAGUUCGCAGGUGGCCGGGGUUCGAUUCCCCGAUCGAGAG
rnacentral:tRNA from 2 species